GACGAACGCUGGCGGCGUGCCUAAUACAUGCAAGUAGGACGCAGUUGCGAACGGGUGAGUAACGCGUAGGUAACUACCUAUUAGAGGGGGAUAACUAUUGGAAACGAUAGCUAAUACCGCAUACUAGUAGAUGGACCUGCGUUGUAUUAGCUAGUAGGUAGGGUAAUGGCCUACCUAGGCAACGAUACAUAGCCUAACGUAGCAGGUGAGCGGCCACGUCGGUACUGAGACACGGCCCAGACUCCAACGGGAGGCAGAAGUAUGGAAUCUUGGGCAAUGGGGGGAACCCGGACCGAGCAACGCCGCGUGAGUGAAGAAGUUUUUCGGGUCGUAAAGCUCUGUUGUUAAGGAAGCGGUACUUAACCAGAAAGGGACGGCUAACUACCUGCCAGCAGCCGAGGUAAUUC
rnacentral:rRNA from 1 species